CAGGCUUCGUGCAGUUUGAUACCACAUUUGAACGGAUACAUCAGCCUCAAAGAGCACAAAGCGAUGCCUGAUCAGGAGAAAGAGACUCGUGUACAAAAUCUAUUCCAGGAUGGUUGCUUCUACUUGUCAACUAAACAACAUUUGGCGUCUCUUCUUCAGCGCACGUUACACCUAGUCUCAUACCAGCAUCAGCAACAGAGUUGGGAAAUACACAGCAGUCAGUCUAUAACCAAAAAAGCGAAAGAGUCAUGCUCCUUCUGUUUCUAAUAAAGGGGAGGAAAAAGUUUUAACGAGCUGCUAAGUGCUAACUAGUUGACGUUUCAGACAUAACCUCUAACAGUGUAGCUAAUGAUCUUAAAUCAAAAGUGGCAAAGUGUUUGUUUACAAGUUCAGACGUGUCAGACGAGGUAAUAUGUUUGGUUUGCUUUUAACACUUAUCACUAAGUAUUUCCUAAUCAAUCCAACUAUUAUAAAAAAUUCUUUUUGUUGUUGUUUGUUUUUUUUUUGUAGUAAAACAGAAUUGUUGUUGUUGUUUGUUUUUUUUUUUCAAAUCGCAUUUUUUUUGUUUUAAUUUUUUGUGUCAACAAGUAAAAACGUUUAUCUCAACUAUUACACUUUACAAGAUUUUGGACCCUAGCUUCUUGUUACUUUAGGUUCCAACCAUCGUGUAGUCUAGCUAAUGAUCUUAAAUCAAAAGUGGCAAAGUGUUUGUUUACAAGUUCAGACGUGUCAGACGAGGUAAUAUGUUUUGUUUGCUUUUAACACUUAUCACUAAGUAUUUCCUAAUCAAUCCAACUAUUAUAAAAAAUUCUUUUUGUUGUUGUUUGUUUUUUUUUUGUAG